rnacentral:rRNA from 1 species
ACCCCGGGAGGGGAGUGAAAUAGAUCCUGAAACCGCAUGCAUACAAAAAGUCGGAGCCGCAAGGUGACGGCGUACCUUUUGUAUAAUGGGUCAGCGAGUUACUUUGACGAGCAAGCCUAAGCCGUUAGGCGUAAGCGAAGCGAAAGCGAGUCUGAAUAGGGCGUUUAGUUCGUUUGAGUAGACCCGAAACCGGGUGAUCUAGCCAUGGGCAGGUUGAAGGUACGGUAACACGUACUGAAGGACCGAACCCACGUCUGUUGAAAAAGACGGGGAUGACCUGUGGCUAGGGGUGAAAGGCCAAUCAAACCCGGCAAUAGCUGGUUCUCCGCGAAAGCUAUUUAGGUAGCGCGUCUGGUCUCACCUUCGGGGGUAGAGCACUGGAUGGGGAAGGGGGGCGCGAGCCUUACCGACUCUAACCAAACUCCGAAUACCGAAGAGUGCAAUCCAGGCAGACAGACGGCGGGUGCUAAGGUCCGUCGUCAAAAGGGAAACAGCCCUAACCUACAGCUAAGGUCCCCAAGUCAUAUCUAAGUGGGAAAGCAUGUGGGAAUCCCAAAACAACCAGGAGGUUGGCUUAGAAGCAGCCAUCCUUUAAAG